UACGGAGGGAGCGAACGUUGUUCGGAUUUACUGGGCGUAAAGGGCGUGUAGGCGGCUCCGUAAGUCAGGGGUGAAAUGUCCCGGCUCAACCGGGAACCUGCCUUUGAAACUGCAGAGCUCGAGGUCGUGAGAGGAGACUGGAAUUCCUAGUGUAGCGGUGAAAUGCAUAGAUAUUAGGAAGAACACCAGUGGCGAAGGCGAGUCUCUGGCACGAUUCUGACGCUGAUGCGCGAAAGCUAGGGGAGCAAACGGG
rnacentral:rRNA from 1 species